GAGGAUUUAGCUCAGUGGUAGAGCACUUGCCUAGCAAGUGCAAGGCCCUGAGUUUAGUCCUCA
rnacentral:tRNA from 1 species